GAUGAACGCUAGCGGCAGGCUUAAUACAUGCAAGUCGAGGGGCAGCGCAGGGUAGCAAUACCUGGGCGGCGACCGGCAAACGGGUGCGGAACACGUACAGAACCUUCCUUCGAGCGGGGGAUAGCCCAGAGAAAUUUGGAUUAAUACCUCAUAGUAUAAUGGUGUGGCAUCACAUUAUUAUUAAAGAUUUAUCACUUGAAGAUGGCUGUGCGUAUGAUUAGGUAGUUGGCGGGGUAACGGCCCACCAAGCCUACGAUCAUUAACUGGUGUGAGAGCACGACCAGUCACACGGGCACUGAGACACGGGCCCGACUCCUACGGGAGGCAGCAGUAAGGAAUAUUGGUCAAUGGACGCAAGUCUGAACCAGCCAUGCCGCGUGGAGGAUGAAGGUCCUCUGGAUUGUAAACUUCUUUUAUCUGGGACGAAAAAAGGCUUUUCUAAGUCGUCUGACGGUACCAGAUGAAUAAGCACCGGCUAACUCCGUGCCAGCAGCCGCGGUAAAAC
rnacentral:rRNA from 1 species